rnacentral:rRNA from 1 species
GUCGAGCGAACGGACGAGAAGCUUGCUUCUCUGAUGUUAGCGGCGGACGGGUGAGUAACACGUGGAUAACCUACCUAUAAGACUGGGAUAACUUCGGGAAACCGGAGCUAAUACCGGAUAAUAUUUUGAACCGCAUGGUUCAAAAGUGAAAGACGGUCUUGCUGUCACUUAUAGAUGGAUCCGCGCUGCAUUAGCUAGUUGGUAAGGUAACGGCUUACCAAGGCAACGAUGCAUAGCCGACCUGAGAGGGUGAUCGGCCACACUGGAACUGAGACACGGUCCAGACUCCUACGGGAGGCAGCAGUAGGGAAUCUUCCGCAAUGGGCGAAAGCCUGACGGAGCAACGCCGCGUGAGUGAUGAAGGUCUUCGGAUCGUAAAACUCUGUUAUUAGGGAAGAACAUAUGUGUAAGUAACUGUGCACAUCUUGACGGUACCUAAUCAGAAAGCCACGGCUAGCUACGUGCCAGCAGCCGCGGUAAUACGUAGGUGGCAAGCGUUAUCCGGAAUUAUUGGGCGUAAAGCGCGCGUAGGCGGUUUUUUAAGUCUGAUGUGAAAGCCCACGGCUCAACCGUGGAGGGUCAUUGGAAACUGGAAAACUUGAGUGCAGAAGAGGAAAGUGGAAUUCCAUGUGUAGCGGUGAAAUGCGCAGAGAUAUGGAGGAACACCAGUGGCGAA